GCACAAGCGGUGGAGCAUGUGGUUCAAUUCGAAGCAACGCGCAGAACCUUACCAGCCCUUGACAUGUCCUCUAUGGAUUCCAGAGACGGAGUCCUUCACUUCGGGUGGGAGGAACACAGGUGCUGCAUGGCUGUCGUCAGCUCGUGUCGUGAGAUGUUGGGUUAAGUCCCGCAACGAGCGCAACCCUCGCCCUUAGUUGCCAUCAUUUAGUUGGGCACUCUAAGGGGACUGCCGGUGAUAAGCCGGAGGAAGGUGGGGAUGACGUCAAGUCCUCAUGGCCCUUACGGGCUGGGCUACACACGUGCUACAAUGGCGGUGACAGAGGGAUGCAAAGGGGCGACCCUUCGCAAAUCUCAAAAAUCCGUCUCAGUUCGGAUUGGGGUCUGCAACUCGACCCCAUGAAGUUGGAAUCGCUAGUAAUCGCAGAUCAGCACGCUGCGGUGAAUACGUUCCCGGGC
rnacentral:rRNA from 1 species